rnacentral:rRNA from 1 species
UUUUUCGUAUUGCACAAUGGGCGGAAGCCUGAUGCAGCAACGCCGCGUGCGGGAUGACGGCCUUCGGGUUGUAAACCGCUUUCAGCAGGGACGAAGCGUGAGUGACGGUACCUGCAGAAGAAGCACCGGCUAACUACGUGCCAGCAGCCGCGGUGAUACGUAGGGUGCGAGCGUUGUCCGGAUUUAUUGGGCGUAAAGAGCUUGUAGGCGGUUGGUUGCGUCGAAAGUGCAAACUCAGGGCUUAACUCUGAGCCUGCUUUCGAUACGGGCUGACUGGAGGAAGGUAGGGGAGAAUGGAAUUCCCGGUGGAGCGGUGGAAUGCGCAGAUAUCGGGAGGAACACCAGUGGCGAAGGCGGUUCUCUGGACCUUUCCUGACGCUGAGAAGCGAAAGCGUGGGGAGCAAACAG